AUAGGCAGGAUUUGGGUCCAAGCUGCCCAAUACGUGUAGCUUCUGACCUAAUGGUCACUUGCAACCAUAGCAACUGAAGAGCACUCAGAACGGUCUCGUAAAAAAAUCCCCCUAACUGUCAAAGGGCGAAGAGAGCAUUAUUCAGUAUCCUUUCCUUUUCGACUAAGACAUAAGAAAGCAUUUAGAUGUCUACGGCUGAGCUAACACUGUCUCAUUACACACAUUCACUGUGUCUCUGUAUAUCGGUGCCCUUAGAUAACUUGUGGGAUUGGGUCAAACUCUGUUUCCACCACGUGGGGCCAGGGAACAGAGUCAAGCUGUCAGGUUGGGUAGGAAGCAUCUUUACCAGAUGAGCCAUUUUAUUGGUCUUAACAUUGCGGCCCUCCCAAAGCUGAAGCCAAAGGCCCUGGAAGCCAAGGAGGCGGUGCUGGCAGACACAGAGAGAAACCCUGCAUGUCACCCACCUUCCAGUGGUCCAAGAGUCCGAAGCUCUGAAGGCAGCACACAUACCUUGGAAAGAGAGCCCAGGAAAAACAAACU
rnacentral:lncRNA from 1 species